GUUGUGGUCUGCCUCAUUAUUUGUAUCUGGUCAAGGGAAAGCGGUGGAAAAGCGGGUAAAAAGCGAGCCCCAAAGCAGAUACCACUCCCCUCUUAAAAAAUCCCAGCUCCAUCCCCUUUAAUUGUGGUUCAUUUUCCGAGUCUUUUGAGUUUCGGGUCCUUUGGGCUUCUAGCACAUUUCCUACAUUUUCCUACAUUUAACCACAAUAUUUUUGUGGAAUUGCUCGCAAAUUGUUUAUUGCUGACCUCAAAGCUAUUCGGGGAUUAUGGCCAACAGAAACAAGGUGUUGGCCAUCAUUUGCCCUAUUUUCUGACCCCCAAGCUGGCUUUGGAUUAAUUUAAAUGGCACUUAGUGAGUGAUAUUAGAGCAGAGUUUAUGGCGCUAACUUGUUGCUCUUGUCGAAAAUGGGACUACCCCGAUUACAUUUUAUCUUUCAGUUAAUUAAUCGAUCGUUUUAAUUAUGGGACUAAAAGAAAAUAUUAAGCUUACACUUACUUACUUGCCAAUCAUUUUGAUGAAACACAAAAUUUGAAAAAUUCCCAUUUCUGAUUUAUAUACAUAUCUAUGUACAUAUGUGAUUUGGGAGUUCAUCGGUAUCUAUUGAGGACAGAAUAUAAGCUUGCUCCUAAAUUCACCAAAAGCUAAGUGCAAUUCAAGCGUAAAGAGCUCCUUUAUUUGUUUCAUGCGUUUGCUGAAGGAUAUAUCAACCAUUUUUUGAUGUCAUCCGCGGCCUCAUCAACUUAAUCAUUGAAGAAGAAGGAGCAAUUUGCCUUGCACAGAUCCUUCGUCCUUUCGCGCAGCGUCCUGCCUAAAACUGAAAAAGCGGAGAAAAGAGCAGAGCGCAGCACAAAAAAAAAAAAAGAAAAAGAAGGAGGGAAAAUAAAUAAUGUGAGAAGAGGAAACAUUCAGCUUCGUUGACGGCGACCCAUUGACCAAGUUAAAAAGGCAAGAGCUAUACGGCAUACACUCGUAUGGGGAUAUGGCCACACAUGUAUGAGUUAUGCAAAUCAUAUAUGUAUAUAUAUAUAUAUAUAUCAUAUAUAUGAUAUAUAUUUUCCUCUUGCUGCGGAGGCACUUCAAAUGCGGCUUGGGGCCGCGGAAUCAAGCGCCAAGAGACCUCAUAAAAACGACUAACGCGACUGGCUCACACAGAUACGCACUCACACUGGCGCACAUAUUGAGUUGUGGCUUAAUGCCACACAGAGACACACACACAAGCACACCGACACACACACAUAGGGGUUCAAAAUUUGGCAGAAGGAGCGCAAAAACCAAAACAGAAAUAUUUCGCUCCACUUUUUUGUACGAGUUUUUUUUUUUUUUUUUUAAUAUUUUCUUCCCACAAAAUUUGUGUCAUGCCAUGUGCUCGGGAUUGCAUAACCCCCUUUGCAGGAGGCCUGCAGCCCCUUUCACCACGCCCCUGUCAGCCGCAGCUUCAUUUGGCAACAGAAAUAUUUCGCAGAUUAAACAGGGAAUUGAAACUAGACGAGGAGUCGGAACAGCAGCCGUAACUGUGAAUUAAGUAAUGUUAAAUCGCCGAAAUGAAUUAUGUAAUUAAAUGUGGAAGGGGUAAUUCUAAAAAAUAAGCUUAAAAUACAUCGAAUAAUUUCAUUCAACGAGAACAGCAAGAAUAAAGGCAGAAAUACGAAAAAAUUAAA